rnacentral:rRNA from 1 species
AUACGUAGGGGGCGAGCGUUGUCCGGAAUGAUUGGGCGUAAAGGGCGCGUAGGCGGCCCGGUAAGUCUGGAGUGAAAGUCCUGUUUUUAAGAUGGGAAUUGCUUUGGAUACUGUCGGGCUUGAGUGCAGGAGAGGUAAGUGGAAUUCCCAGUGUAGCGGUGAAAUGCGUAGAGAUCGGGAGGAACACCAGUGGCGAAGGCGGGUAACUGGACUGCAACUGACGCUGAGGCGCGAAAGUGUGGGGAGCAAACAGGAUUAGAUACCCUGGUAGUCCACGCUGUAAACGAUGAUUACUAGGUGUGGGGGGACUGACCCCUUCCGUGCCGCAGUUAACACAAUAAGUAAUCCACCUGGGGAGUACGGCCGCAAGGUUGAAACUUAAAGGAAUUGGCGGGG